GAAGCGAGACGGAGACGUUAAGCGAACCCAAAAAAGUAAGUCUCAGUUCGGAUUGAAGGCUGAAAUUCGCCUUCAUGAAGCCGGAAUCGCUAGUAAUGGCAGGUCAGCAUACUGCCGUGAAUACGUUCCCGGGCCUUGUACACACCGCCCGUCACACCAUGAGAGUUGAGAAUACCCGAAGCCCAUGUCAAAGUGGUCGAAGGUAGGCUUGAUGAUUGGGGUGAAGUCGUAACAAGGUACC
rnacentral:rRNA from 1 species